rnacentral:rRNA from 1 species
AAUACCCCAUAAUAUCUCAUGCGGCAUCGCAUGGGGUUGAAAACUCCGGUGGUUGAUGAUGGGCAUGCGUUGUAUUAGCUGGUUGGUGAGGUAACGGCUCACCAAGGCGACGAUACAUAGGGGGACUGAGAGGUUAACCCCCCACAUUGGUACUGAGACACGGACCAAACUCCUACGGGAGGCAGCAGUGAGGAAUAUUGGUCAAUGGACGCAAGUCUGAGCCAGCCAUGCCGCGUGCAGGAUGACGGCUCUAUGAGUUGUAAACUGCUUUUGUACGAGGGUAAACCCCGAUACGUGUAUCGGGUUGAAAGUAUCGUACGAAUAAGGAUCGGCUAACUCCGUGCCAGCAGCCGCGGUAAUACGGAGGAUCCGAGCGUUAUCCGGAUUUAUUGGGUUUAAAGGGUGCGUAGGCGGUUUGAUAAGUUAGAGGUGAAAUGUCGGGGCUCAACCCCGAAACUGCCUCUAAUACUGUUGGACUAGAGAAUAGUUGCGGUAGGCGGAAUGUAUGGUGUAGCGGUGAAAUGCUUAGAGAUCAUACAGAACACCGAUUGCGAAGGCAGCUUACCAAACUAUAUCUGACGUUGAGGCACGAAAGCGUGGGUAGCAAACAGGAUUAGAUACCCUGCUAGUCCACGCAGUAAACGAUGAUAACUCGUUGUCGGCGAUACACAGUCGGUGACUAAGC